rnacentral:rRNA from 1 species
CCUACGGGUGGCAGCAGUGAGGAAUAUUGGUCAAUGGGCGCGAGCCUGAACCAGCCAAGUCGCGUGAGGGAUGAAUGUCCUAUGGAUCGUAAACCUCUUUUAUAUGGGAAUAAAAUGUUGGACGUGUCCGAUUUUGUAUGUACCUUAUGAAUAAGGAUCGGCUAACUCCGUGCCAGCAGCCGCGGUAAUACGGAGGAUCCGAGCGUUAUCCGGAUUUAUUGGGUUUAAAGGGUGCGUAGGCGGCCUUUUAAGUCAGUGGUGAAAGUCUGCGGCUCAACCGUAGAAUUGCAGUUGAAACUGGCAGUCUUGAGUAUGUUAGAGGUGGGCGGAAUGCGUGGUGUAGCGGUGAAAUGCUUAGAUAUCACGAAGAACCCCGAUUGCGAAGGCAG